GGAACAGACAGGAGCUCCGGUCUGCAGGGCCUUGAUACACCUUUGGGGUUGAUUCCUCUGGGCCAAUGCCCAUCCCACUGUCUUGAAGGAUGCCCCAUCUCUCUGAUCCUGGGUUCAUUCUUCCCCCUUUCUCCCGCACCCAGCUGCCUUGGAAAUGGGAAGCUUCCUCCUUGUGCACUUGAACAGCCCAGGUGCCCACACCAUGCCAUGAGCACUCAGUACAUGCCUGCUGUGGGAAUGUCGGAAUGCGUGAGUGGGUGCAUGGUUCCAGCUGCCUGAGGACUCUCCCUGUGUGGACGCACCUUGCUAGGAGUUCAGUGUGAAAUGCACUGAUGUACUCAUCAGCCACCAGAGGCCCAGACAUCAGGCAGGUGUCCUGGCUGGUCAGCCACAGCCCCUCCUCCCCCAGGGCCUGGGCAAACCUGAUGCUUCUGGAGCACAGAGCUGGCCAUGUGGUUGGCUGGGAGCGGCAGAUAAACCCAUGCAAGUUUUAUGGAGGAGAAAACAGAAGUUCUGAGAGAUCACUUGCCCAAAGCCACAUGGUUGGAAGGCUUGUGUUCAUCCCUGCUCCCAAGACUCGCCUGACUCCACAGCAUUCCAUAGCCCUGGCCUGAAACUCUGGUCGCCUCGUGCCCGGUGUAAGGGUGGGGGCACUCCCAGGAGGGCUCGGAGGAGGCUUGGCUGGCCGUGUUCUGGGCCCUGCGUGAUCCCAGGUUCUCCGACGGACCCCGGGGUGGCCGGGAGAAGCCGUAUGUGCUGUGGACAGAGGUGUCUGCCCCCCAGCCCUGCCCAGGCCCAGGUCCUGCUCCUGUGCCUCGUGAGGGGGUGUUGCUGCCCAGUGCAGGCCUCACCUAGCAGUUCCUGGGCACUGGCUGAGGUCUGCUCCUGCUCCAAGUCCGGGGUCUCAGCCAGGCCCAGCCGGUGAGGGAGGCUGUGUGGCCUCGUGGGGUCGGGGCGGGUAGCUUCGAAGUGGUCAGCUGCUGCCUGCUGUGGCGGCUGGGGCUGGAGUCCUGCUCCUGGCUUUCCAGGAUGCACAGGCUGGGCUUGGAGGAGCAAGAGGAGGCGGAUGGAGGGCGGAAAGGAGCCCAGGGCCAUGGCUCCCAACUCCUCUGAAAAGCCCGUGAGCUCGAUAGCAUCCACUUUGCAUUUUAUCAAAUCGCCAUUUCUCACAGAAGAAUCUGUCAGCCACCAAAAUUGCUGGCUGAAAGGAGCAGGAAUGAAAAGAUUCACCUUGAGGACAUUCCUCUUUGUCAGGAGCAGAAAAGAUUCCAUUUGCCAGCCGGGAGAGGAUUCCGGGUUCAUUGAUAGCAGCGUGCUGAGCUUCAC
rnacentral:lncRNA from 10 species